GACGUAGGGCGCGAGCGUUGUCCGGAUUUAUUGGGCGUAAAGAGCUCGUAGGCGGCUUGUCGCGUCGUCUGUGAAAUCCCGCGGCUCAACUGCGGGCUGGCAGUCGAUACGGGCAGGCUUGAAUCCGGGAGAGGGAUGCGGAAUUCCAGGUGUAGCGGUGAAAUGCGUAGAUAUCUGGAGGAAGACCGGUGGCGAAGGCGGCAUCCUGGACCGGUAUUGACGCUGAGGCGCGAAAGCUAGGGGAGCAAACGGG
rnacentral:rRNA from 1 species